CGUUGUCCGGAUUAUUGGGCGUAAAGCGCGCGCAGGCGGAUUGGUCAGUCUGUCUUAAAAGUUCGGGGCUUAACCCCGUGAUGGGAUGGAAACUGCCAAUCUAGAGUAUCGGAGAGGAAAGUGGAAUUCCUAGUGUAGCGGUGAAAUGCGUAGAUAUUAGGAAGAACACCAGUGGCGAAGGCGACUUUCUGGACGAAAACUGACGCUGAGGCGCGAAAGCCAGGGGAGCGAACGGGAUUAGAUACCCCGGUAGUCCUGGCCGUAAACGAUGGGUACUAGGUGUAGGAGGUAUCGACCCCUUCUGUGCCGGAGUUAACGCAAUAAGUACCCCGCCUGGGGAGUACGACCGCAAGGUUGAAACUCAAAGGAAUUGACGGGGGCCCGCACAAGCGGUGGAGUAUGUGGUUUAAUUCGAAGCAACGCGAAGAACCUUACCAGGUCUUGACAUCCCUCUGACCGCUCUAGAGAUAGAGCUUUCCUUCGGGACAGAGGUGACAGGUGGUGCAUGGUUGUCGUCAGCUCGUGUCGUGA
rnacentral:rRNA from 1 species